GAGGGUAUGGUUUAGUGGUAAAGCACCUGCCUAGCAUGCACAAAGCCCUGGGUUGGAUUCCCAGCACCAUAA
rnacentral:tRNA from 1 species